ACGGAAGGCAGCAGUGGGGAAUAUUGCACAAUGGGGGAAACCCUGAUGCAGCGAUGCCGCGUGGAGGAAGAAGGUUUUCGGAUUGUAAACUCCUGUCUUAAGGGACGAUAAUGACGGUACCUUAGGAGGAAGCUCCGGCUAACUACGUGCCAGCAGCCGCGGUAAUACGUAGGGAGCGAGCGUUGUCCGGAUUUACUGGGUGUAAAGGGCGUGUAGGCGGAACUGUAAGUCAGAUGUGAAAUCCCGGGGCUCAACCCCGGAACUGCAUUUGAAACUGCAGUCCUUGAGUAUCGGAGAGGCAAGCGGAAUUCCUAGUGUAGCGGUGAAAUGCGUAGAUAUUAGGAGGAACACCAGUGGCGAAGGCGGCUUGCUGGACGACAACUGACGCUGAGGCGCGAAAGCGUGGGGAGCAAACAGGAUUAGAUACCCUGGUA
rnacentral:rRNA from 1 species